GUUGAUUUUUCUGCAGUAACAGUCUCUUCUUGAAAGACAUGGGUAGUGAGAUGUUUAAUUAAUAAAUUUUGUCUCACUACCUUGUCUUUCAUGUAGCGAUUGUCAAAAUUCAUCAUCAAUGCC
rnacentral:precursor_RNA from 15 species